rnacentral:lncRNA from 1 species
GGGAAGACAGGAAGGAAGAAGACGGGGAGCAUGGUCACAACAGUAACUAUCAGAUCCACUACACCAAGAUUUCUGAAGACAAUGGCAUCUCCACCCAAGCGCGUUGUAAAUAAAUUCCGAAUAGAACCUGUCAUCACCCUGAAGGAAUUCUAACUUCACACUGUUGGGGAAAUUUACCAAGAUGGCUUCAGAAUAGACUAACUUUACACAGCACAUU